UCGAGCUGAGAGACUCUGGGUCACCUCCCACCCGUGUCUAUCGUACCUUGUUGCUUCGGCGGGCCCGCCGUUUCGACGGCCGCCGGGGAGGCCUUGCGCCCCCGGGCCCGCGCCCGCCGAAGACCCCAACAUGAACGCUGUUCUGAAAGUAUGCAGUCUGAGUUGAUUAUCGUAAUCAGUUAAAACUUUCAACAACGGAUCUCUUGGUUCCGGCAUCGAUGAAGAACGCAGCGAAAUGCGAUAAGUAAUGUGAAUUGCAGAAUUCAGUGAAUCAUCGAGUCUUUGAACGCACAUUGCGCCCCCUGGUAUUCCGGGGGGCAUGCCUGUCCGAGCGUCAUUGCUGCCCUCAAGCACGGCUUGUGUGUUGGGCCCCCGUCCCCCUCUCCCGGGGGACGGGCCCGAAAGGCAGCGGCGGCACCGCGUCCGGUCCUCGAGCGUAUGGGGCUUUGUCACCUGCUCUGUAGGCCCGGCCGGCGCCAGCCGACACCCAACUUUAUUUUUCUAAGGUUGACCUCGGAUCAGGUAGGGAUACCCGCUGAACCUUAAG
rnacentral:rRNA from 1 species